rnacentral:tRNA from 1 species
GGCUCUGGUUAGAGCACAGCAUUCACAUUGCUGGGGUCACAGGUUCAAAUCCUGUGCCGUCCA